GUCAGGAAAUUUGAACGUGCGUGUGUGUGGAGGAGGGAAUACAUCAGACAGAUACGUUACGCUUCGUGGGAGGCAUUUAUAACAAGGACAGAAAGACCAGAAUUGGGAAGAAAAAAAAAUAUCUGGGCCAUAUUCCCUUUGUAUCAGCAGCUUCCUGAUGAGAAUAACAUUCUUGAAAAAGCAGAAACCAUCAUUGGUCCAUACUUGGAAUGCUGUGAAGUGAGCUGGUCAGUAAUGUAAUGUUCCUGGUAUGCAAGUUUGCUCCACAAAAUAAAGUGGUCCAGGAAAUAUAUGAUAAUGAGGAUGUUCAUGAUUCAAUAUCCUAAACUAAACCCUUCAGG